AGAUUGAACGCUGGCGGCAUGCUUUACACAUGCAAGUCGAACGGUAACAGGCCGCAAGGUGCUGACGAGUGGCGAACGGGUGAGUAAUGCAUCGGAACGUGCCCAGUCGUGGGGGAUAACGCAGCGAAAGCUGUGCUAAUACCGCAUACGAUCUAUGGAUGAAAGCGGGGGACCGAAAGGCCUCGCGCGAUUGGAGCGGCCGAUGUCAGAUUAGCUAGUUGGUGGGGUAAAGGCCCACCAAGGCGACGAUCUGUAGCUGGUCUGAGAGGACGACCAGCCACACUGGAACUGAGACACGGUCCAGACUCCUACGGGAGCAGCAGUGGGGAAUUUUGGACAAUGGGCGCAAGCCUGAUCCAGCAAUGCCGCGUGCAGGAAGAAGGCCUUCGGUUGUAAACUGCUUUUGUACGGAACGAAACGGUCUAGGUUAAUACCGUCGGACUAAGUGACGUACCGUAAGAAUAAGCACCGGACUAACUACGUGCCAGCAGCCGUA
rnacentral:rRNA from 1 species